GACGAACGCUGGCGGCGUGCCUAACACAUGCAAGUCGAGCGAACAGACCAGGAGUUUGCUCCUCUGUCGUUAGCGGCGGACGGGAGAGUAACAUGUGUAUAACCUAACUAUCAGACUGGGAUAACUAUGGGAAACCGGAGCUAAUGCCGGAUAAUCUAUUGCACCGCAUGGUUCAAUAGUGAAAUUCGGUUUUUGUGUCACUUCUAGCUGGCUCCGCGCCGCAUUAGCUAGUUGGUAAGGAAAAGGGUUACCAAGGCAACGAGGCGUAGCCGACCUGAGAGGGGGGUCGCCCACACGGGAAGUGAGACAGGGUCCAUACUCCUACGGUAAGCAGCAGUCGGGAAUCGUCCGCAAUGGACGAGAGCCUGACAGAGCAACGCGGCGUAAGUGAUGAAGGUGUUCUGAGCGGAAAGCUCUGUUAUUAGUGGAGAACAAAUGUGUAAUUAACUGUGCAGAUCUUGACGGUACCGGGUCAAAAAGCCACGGCUAACUACGUG
rnacentral:rRNA from 1 species